UUCCGGUUGAUCCUGCCGGAGGCCACUGCUAUGGGGGUCCGACUAAGCCAUGCGAGUCAUGGGGGUGUCCCUUCUGGGACACCACCGGCGGACGGCUCAGUAACACGUCGGUAACCUACCCUCGGGAGGGGGAUAACCCCGGGAAACUGGGGCUAAUCCCCCAUAGGUGUGGGGUACUGGAAGGUCCCCACACCGAAAGGGGGCUUCGUGCCCGCCCGAGGAUGGGCCGGCGGCCGAUUAGGUAGUUGGUGGGGUAACGGCCCACCAAGCCGAAGAUCGGUACGGGCCAUGAGAGUGGGAGCCCGGAGAUGGACACUGAGACACGGGUCCAGGCCCUACGGGGCGCAGCAGGCGCGAAACCUCCGCAAUGCGGGAAACCGCGACGGGGGGACCCCCAGUGCCGUGGCAACGCCACGGCUUUUCCGGAGUGUAAAAAGCUCCGGGAAUAAGGGCUGGGCAAGGCCGGUGGCAGCCGCCGCGGUAAUACCGGCGGCCCGAGUGGUGGCCGCUAUUAUUGGGCCUAAAGCGUCCGUAGCCGGGCCCGUAAGUCCCUGGCGAAAUCCCACGGCUCAACCGUGGGGCUUGCUGGGGAUACUGCGGGCCUUGGGACCGGGAGAGGCGGGGGGUACCCCUGGGGUAGGGGUGAAAUCCUAUAAUCCCAGGGGGACCGCCAGUGGCGAAGGCGCCCCGCUGGAACGGGUCCGACGGUGAGGGACGAAGGCCAGGGGAGCGAACCGGAUUAGAUACCCGGGUAGUCCUGGCUGUAAAGGAUGCGGGCUAGGUGUCGGGCGAGCUCCGAGCUCGCCCGGUGCCGUAGGGAAGCCGUUAAGCCCGCCGCCUGGGGAGUACGGCCGCAAGGCUGAAACUUAAAGGAAUUGGCGGGGGAGCACUACAAGGGGUGGAGCGUGCGGUUUAAUUGGAUUCAACGCCGGGAACCUCACCGGGGGCGACGGCAGGAUGAAGGCCAGGCUGAAGGUCUUGCCGGACACGCCGAGAGGAGGUGCAUGGCCGCCGUCGGCUCGUACCGUGAGGCGUCCACUUAAGUGUGGUAACGAGCGAGACCCGCGCCCCCAGUUGCCAGUCCCUCCCGUUGGGAGGGAGGCACUCUGGGGGGACCGCCGGCGAUAAGCCGGAGGAAGGAGCGGGCGACGGUAGGUCAGUAUGCCCCGAAACCCCCGGGUACACGCGCGUACAAUGGGCGGGACAAUGGGAUCCGACCCCGAAAGGGGAAGGGAAUCCCCUAAACCCGCCCUCAGUUCGGAUCGCGGGCUGCAACUCGCCCGCGUGAAGCUGGAAUCCUAGUACCCGCGUGUCAUCAUCGCGCGGCGAAUACGUCCUGCUCUUUGCACACACCGCCCGUCACUC
rnacentral:rRNA from 1 species